rnacentral:rRNA from 1 species
CCUACGGGCGGCAGCAGUGAGGAAUAUUGGUCAAUGGCCGAGAGGCUGAACCAGCCAAGUCGCGUGAGGGAAGACGGCCCUACGGGUUGUAAACCUCUUUUGUCGGGGAGCAAAGCGAACCACGUGUGGUUCAUUGAGAGUACCCGAAGAAAAAGCAUCGGCUAACUCCGUGCCAGCAGCCGCGGUAAUACGGAGGAUGCGAGCGUUAUCCGGAUUUAUUGGGUUUAAAGGGUGCGCAGGCGGAGGUGCAAGUCAGCGGUCAAAUUGCGGGGCUCAACCCCGUACUGCCGUUGAAACUGCAUCCCUUGAGUGCGGCGGAGGCAUGCGGAAUGCGCGGUGUAGCGGUGAAAUGCAUAGAUAUCGCGCAGAACCCCGAUUGCGAAGGCAGCGUGCCGUGCCGCCACUGACGCUGAGGCACGAAAGCGCGGGGAUCGAACAGGAUUAGAUACCCGUGUAGUC